AGUACAGAGGGUUGCCAAGCCGUAAGGUGGAGAGAAUCCCUGAAGGCUACUCUCAGUUCGGAUUGUAGGCUGAAACUCGCCUACAUGAAGCUGGAGUUACUAGUAAUCGCAGAUCAGAAGGCUGCGGGGAAUGCGUUCCCGGGUCUUGUACACACCGCCCGUCACACCACGGGAGUUGGAGACGCCCGAAGCCGACUAUCUAACCUUUUGGAAGAAGUCGUCGAAGGUGGAAUCAAUAACUGGGGUGAAGUCGUAACAAGGUAGCCGUAUCGGAAGGUGCGGCUGGAUCACCUCCUUUCUAAUGAGA
rnacentral:rRNA from 1 species